GGAGGGUGCAAGCGUUAAUCGGAAUUACUGGGCGUAAAGCGCGCGUAGGUGGCUUGAUAAGCCGGUUGUGAAAGCCCCGGGCUCAACCUGGGAACGGCAUCCGGAACUGUCAAGCUAGAGUGCAGGAGAGGAAGGUAGAAUUCCCGGUGUAGCGGUGAAAUGCGUAGAGAUCGGGAGGAAUACCAGUGGCGAAGGCGGCCUUCUGGACUGACACUGACACUGAGGUGCGAAAGCGUGGGUAGCAAACAGGAUUAGAUACCCUGGUAGUCCACGCCGUAAACGAUGUCGACCAGCCGUUGGGUGCCUAGCGCACUUUGUGGCGAAGUUAACGCGAUAAGUCGACCGCCUGGGGAGUACGGCCGCAAGGUUAAAACUCAAAUGAAUUGACGGGGGCCCGCACAAGCGGUGGAGCAUGUGGUUUAAUUCGAUGCAACGCGAAGAACCUUACCUACUCUUGACAUCCUGCGAAUUUGGUAGAGAUACCUUAGUGCCUUCGGGAGCGCAGAGACAGGUGCUGCAUGGCUGUCGUCAGCUCGUGUUGUGAAAUGUUGGGUUAAGUCCCGUAACGAGCGCAACCCUUGUCCUUAUUUGCCAGCGCGUAAUGGCGGGAACUCUAAGGAGACUGCCGGUGACAAACCGGAGGAAGGUGGGGACGACGUCAAGUCAUCAUGGCCCUUACGAGUAGGGCUACACACGUGCUACAAUGGUCGGUACAAAGGGUUGCCAACUCGCGAGAGUGAGCCAAUCCCGAAAAGCCGAUCUCAGUCCGGAUCGGAGUCUGCAACUCGACUCCGUGAAGUCGGAAUCGCUAGUAAUCGUGGAUCAGAAUGCCACGGUGAAUACGUUCCCAGGCCUU
rnacentral:rRNA from 1 species